GAUGAACGCUGGCGGCGUGCCUAAUACAUGCAAGUCGAGCGAACGGACGAGAAGCUUGCUUCUCUGAUGUUAGCGGCGGACGGGUGAGUAACACGUGGAUAACCUACCUAUAAGACUGGGAUAACUUCGGGAAACCGGAGCUAAUACCGGAUAAUAUUUUGAACCGCAUGGUUCAAAAGUGAAAGACGGUCUUGCUGUCACUUAUAGAUGGAUCCGCGCUGCAUUAGCUAGUUGGUAAGGUAACGGCUUACCAAGGCAACGAUGCAUAGCCGACCUGAGAGGGUGGUCGGCCACACUGGAACUGAGACACGGUCCAGACUCCUACGGGGGGCAGCAGUAGGGAAUCUUCCGCCAUGGGCGAAAGCCUGACGGAGCAACGCCGCGGGAGUGAUGAAGGUCUUCGGAUCGUAAAACUCUGUUAUUAGGGAAGAACAUAUGUGUAAGUAACUGUGCACAUCUUGACGGUACCUAAUCAGAAAGCCACGGCUAACUACGUG
rnacentral:rRNA from 1 species